rnacentral:tRNA from 1 species
GGGGCUGGAGAGACGCAGUACUACCAUAUAGAAACGGUGGACGCCGCAUCCAAAGAUUUAAAAUCCCCGGGUGGAAACACCUUGUGGGUUCGACUCCCACCCGCUCUA